rfam:Firmicutes bacterium CAG:194 genomic scaffold, scf67
UGAUGUCAGGGUCUAAAGGUCUAAACCCACGUGAGCUCGCUCAUAGGUGGGUGAAAGACCUUGAGACCCGCUCCGAUAUGAGCAUAAAAGUGGGAUGAUAAUCCCACGAUAUGCGAAUAUUGGGGAGAAUUGUGGGAGUGCGUAGCACGAAACAAUUCGUAGACAUUA